rnacentral:rRNA from 1 species
GUAGGUGGCAAGCGUCGUCCGGAAUUAUUGGGCGUAAAGCGCGCGCAGGUGGUUUAAUAAGUCUGAUGUGAAAGCCCACGGCUCAACCGUGGAGGGUCAUUGGAAACUGUUAAACUUGAGUGCAGGAGAGAAAAGUGGAAUUCCUAGUGUAGCGGUGAAAUGCGUAGAGAUUAGGAGGAACACCAGUGGCGAAGGCGGCUUUUUGGCCUGUAACUGACACUGAGGCGCGAAAGCGUGGGGAGCAAACAGGAUUAGAUACCCUGGUAGUCCACGCCGUAAACGAUGAGUGCUAAGUGUUGGUCUCAUAAGAGAUCAGUGCUGCAGCUAACGCAUUAAGCACUCCGCCUGGGGAGU